UACGGAGGGUGCGAGCGUUGUCCGGAAUCAUUGGGCGUAAAGAGCUCGUAGGCGGUUUGUCGCGUCUGCUGUGAAAACUGGGGGCUCAACCCCCAGCCUGCAGUGGGUACGGGCAGACUAGAGUGCGGUAGGGGAGAUUGGAAUUCCUGGUGUAGCGGUGGAAUGCGCAGAUAUCAGGAGGAACACCGAUGGCGAAGGCAGAUCUCUGGGCCGUAACUGACGCUGGAGGAAGCGAAAGCAUGGGGAGCGAACAGG
rnacentral:rRNA from 1 species